CACAGCACCCGCACCCACCCCCGCACCCACCCACGGGGCUCCCCUCAGCCUCCCAGGGCCCUCCGGACCAGACCCCAGAGCCCCCCAGAGUGUUGGGUCACCCUCAGCAGGGCUUCAUGCAACUCAUCCUCUAAACUGUCCCCGCCUCCGAGCUGCCCUCCAGACUCAAGGCUAGAAAGCUCCUCCCCCGACUCGAGGACCAUUCAUCCUUCAGGUCUCAGCGGAACCCUCAGCUCCUCAGCUGGCCCCACUGUCUGCACACACAGGGUCAGCACCCACCCCCCAACACACACCCUAUAGGCUCCCGGGGCGGUGCCCACCCAGCACUGGGCACAGCUGCUCCUCCUGCUUAACGUCUGCCACCCCCACAGGGCUGCCGGCCACACAGGGGCAGGACCCCAGUCUGGCUCCCUGGGUGCAGCCUCCGCCUGACACUGAAGAUGUCCACUGAAUGAAUGAGCAAGCGGAAAGAGACCCCAUAACAUUACAGAAGAGAACGCUAAGAAAGGCCAUGAACUCCCAGGCUACCCUAUAGGUCAGGGUGAGGCAACAAAUGACACAAUCAAAAAAGUCUUGGGGUGCCUGGCUGGCUCAGUCAGUGCGGCAUGCAACUCUUGAUCUUGGCAUUGUGGGUUUGAGACCCACACUGGGGGGUAGAUAUUGCUUAAAAUAUUU